CUACGGGACGCAGCAGUGGGGAAUUUUGGACAAUGGGCGCAAGCCUGAUCCAGCCAUUCCGCGUGAGUGAAGACGGCCUUAGGGUUGUAAAACUCUUUCGCUAGGGAAGAUAAUGACUGUACCUAGUAAAGAAGUCCCGGCUAACUCCGUGCCAGCAGCCGCGGUAAUACGGAGGGGACUAGCGUUGUUCGGAAUUACUGGGCGUAAAGAGUUCGUAGGCGGACUGACAAGUUAGAGGUGAAAUCCCAGGGCUCAACCCUGGAACUGCCUUUAAAACUGUCAGUCUAGAGACCGGAAGAGGUUAGGGGAAUACCUAGUGUAGAGGUGAAAUUCGUAGAUAUUAGGUGGAACACCAGUGGCGAAGGCGCCUAACUGGUCCGGUACUGACGCUGAGGAACGAAAGCGUGGGGAGCAAACAGGAUUAGAUACCCCGGUAGUC
rnacentral:rRNA from 1 species